rnacentral:tRNA from 1 species
UACUAUAUAGUUUAUAUAAAACAUUAAUCUUGUAAAUAAAAGUUAAAUAAUAUUCACAUUUUAUAGUAU